CCGGCACGGGUGAGUAACACGUAUGCAAUCCACCUGUAACAGGGGGAUAACCCGGAGAAAUCCGACUAAUACCCAUAAUAUGGGCGCUCCGCAUGGAGAGCCCAUUAAAGAGAGCAAUUUUGGUUUACAGACGAGCAUGCGCUCCAUUAGCCAGUUGGCGGGGUAACGGCCCACCAAAGCGACGAUGGAUAGGGGUUCUGAGAGGAAGGUCCCCCACAUUGGAACUGAGACACGGUCCAA
rnacentral:rRNA from 1 species